AGUCACUGACAUUAGAUACCCCCGUAGUCCCAGCCGUAAACAAUGUGCGUUAAGGUGUGUCGGUAACCACGCGUUACUGAUGCGCCGAAGAGAAAUCGUGAAACGCACCACCUGGGAAGUACGGUCGCAAGGCUGAAACUUAAAGGAAUUGGCGGGGAGCACCACAACAGGUGGAGCCUGCGGUUUAAUUGGAUUCAACGCCGGACAUCUCACCGGAUAAGACAGCUGAAUGAUUGUCAAUCUGAAGGUUUUACAUGACUAGCUG
rnacentral:rRNA from 1 species